CGGAGGACAUCUCAACUUUGUGUAAGCAACCCCAGAUCGAGAGGAAUAAUCAUGGGCUCUGAUUUCUCACAAGAGCAAUACAAUCAAGUUGCUCUUGUGACUUAUGAAGACGUUUUACAGCAUCAACCAUGCCUCCUACCAGAUGUAGGCAUAGAUGACUCUCUACUGAGAUAUUCUGGUAACGACUCCAACGCGGCGCUGCAGGCGUUCUCUACUGAGAUGCUCAACACGGUGCCAGGUUACGUCGGCAGCCUGGGAUCUGUUUUGGGUGCGAUGACUUCAGUCCCGAAUGCUGUUGGACUUGGAGCUUUGGUGAUAUCUAUGAUCAUAGAGAUCGCCGUCAAGAUCGGCUCUCAGACAAGUGAUAACACAUACAGCAUGUUACGCCGUGUGUUUGGGGAAGAGAAAGCUUCAAGUGUCCGAGACACGAUGUCCGAGUAUCUGAGACGCCAUCAAGUGUUUAUGAACAAUGACCAACGAUUACGGGAGGAAAUGAGGAGACUGGAACAGCAGCUGAGCAACCACCUCACCAUCCUCAGAAACUCCCUGCAGCAUGACGGACAGAUGAGCAGCCGCGGGUUCAAGAUCUGGGUCAACGGAGCCGCCUUCCACGUCCAGAUGUUGAUCCACGGGGCUCGGCUGGAUGUUAAGACUGGUACACCUGCAUCAGACUAUGUUAACGCUAUCGAAGCUGCCAUCGCUUUGUACAUGCAGGACCUGGAUCGUCUGCUGGAGAAAUACAAGACCUUCAAGAUCGAUACAAUUGAGUGUACCCAUGUUUUUGCCGAUCCUUACAGCCCGGGAUUCCUUUACAUGGCAAAUAAUGAAAUUCAAGACUGUAAACGGUCUCUUAGUUUGCCACAUCCUGACACAUGUAAUGGACCAAAAGCUAUGACGAGUUUUAUUGAUAUUGUUUACUCUAACUAUGAACCGAUUAAAGGCUUAAAGAGUUAUUUUUUAAACACCAAGAACAACCUAAACUCUCUAAUCCAUCAACAUGGAUCAUUCACUGUGCCGUUGGCAGAGUGACUUCCAAAAUAGAAAAGUUGGACUUUGCAGACAGGUUGUGAAUUUCACCACCGGAUCAACAAAGUCUCUGAUUUAUCCAUUUUAAAACAUCAUAGAUUAUUGAUAAUAUUUUGCAAAUAAAUAUGAAUAUGCAAAGUACCUAAAGCUAUCAAAGUAGAGAAUUAAAAGUACAAUAGGCAUGUAGGAGAAAACAACUAGAAAAUUCCUCUGAAAUUUCAACAGUGUGCCUACUACUUGGUGCACAUCCUAAUAACAAUGAAACUAAAUAUAAUAAGUGGUACAUGUCUUAACCCUUCAGAGACCUUAAUCAAAUCUAUUUAAGACCUAGAAUUGAACCAACCAGACUCCAUUUAAAAAACAGUACUUUUAGCGUUUAUAGACCGACAGUGAAGAGUCUCAUCAUAGGUGUGUGUUUGUGUCAGAACUGGUUGCUAUGGUUUUUUGGCAAUUUUGUAAAAACCGCAUGGCAAAUCUCUCUGAAAAGUCAUAGUCGGGAAAUGAUGGUCGGGAAAGUCCCACCAUUCCCGACCAUUACACACGUUUUGAUGUAUUUUGUGUGCGCGUGUUGUCAACGCUCCAGGACUAGUAGCAGGACAAAAAACAGGCGGAAUAAUAAUAAUAAGUAUGAGAAACAAUACUAUUGCAGCACAUUGGCCCACUGGAUUAAAAGUACCUUACAGUUGUCUUGAAGUGCGGCAUAAUUACUCUCCACGGCUGAUAAAAUGCAAUGAUAUUUACGUGUAAAAAUAAAAAUAAAAACCUUAGCAUUAAUGACCGACUUGUUCAUAUCUGUCAGCAGCUCAGACACACUGCUGUCCACGCUGACGCUCCUUCACCUGUUGGACACAUGUUGUCUCUGAUCACGGGGACAGAGACAGGACAGCUUGCUUCAACGCAGCGUCAUAACUCCAGAAAAUAAUAUCCAUCGGUAUCUGCAGUCACCUCAACCCUCAAAAUACAGCAGCAGGAAAAAAAUAAAACGGCUUUUAGACUUAUUUUUGUUUCCUGUGAAGAAAUGUUUUGCGGUGUUGGUGAAUUCUUAAAAAAAUAUAAUAUAUAAUAAUACCGAAAUGUAAUUAGUACUGCGUUAUAUUACCACGUAACAGCUAAAAGGAAUACAUUACUGUAAUUGCGUUACAUUUUUGACGCGUUU